GAUAUCCAUAGAUGGUCAACGGAUCGAGGGUAGGGUUGCUAAUAAUGCGGACUGUUUCCGUUGUACUGUCGUAUAGUCCACCCCAGUACAUGGCUUUGCCGACGAGCAAUAAGGCUCCUAUACCCAAGAAUAAGAGGUGAUGCCCUAAGAUGAUGCCCAAUUGCUUGGGGUUCUCCCA
rnacentral:antisense_RNA from 1 species